GAUGAACGCUGGCGGCGUGCCUAAUACAUGCAAGUCGAGCGAACGGACGAGAAGCUUGCUUCUCUGAUGUUAGCGGCGGACGGGUGAGUAACACGUGGAUAACCUACCUAUAAGACUGGGAUAACUUCGGGAAACCGGAGCUAAUACCGGAUAAUAUUUUGAACCGCAUGGUUCAAAAGUGAAAGACGGUCUUGCUGUCACUUAUAGAUGGAUCCGCGCUGCAUUAGCUAGUUGGUAAGGUAACGGCUUACCAAGGCAACGAUGCAUAGCCGACCUGAGAGGGUGAUCGGCCACACUGGAACUGAGACACGGUCCAGACUCCUACGGGAGGCAGCAGUAGGGAAUCUUCCGCAAUGGGCGAAAGCCUGACGGAGCAACGCCGCGUGAGUGAUGAAGGACUUCGGAUCGUAAAACUCUGUUAGUAGGGAAGAACAUAUGUGUAAGUAACUGUGCACAUCUUGACGGUACCUAAUCAGAAAGCCACGGCUAACUACGUG
rnacentral:rRNA from 1 species